rfam:Monodelphis domestica cont3.067659, whole genome shotgun sequence.
GGCUGGGUAGCUCAGUGGAUUGAGAGCCAACCCUAGAGGUGGGAGGUCCUAGGUUCGAAUCCGGCCUCAGCCA